rnacentral:rRNA from 1 species
UACGUAGGGUGCGAGCGUUGCCCGGAUUUAUUGGGCGUAAAGGGCGCGCAGGCGGCCCGACGCGUCCCGUGUGAAAGCUCCCGGCUCACCUGGGAGAGGUCGCGGGAAACGGUCGGGCUUGAGCAAGGUAGGGGGCCAUGGAAUUCCCGGUGUAGUGGUGGAAUGCGUAGAGAUCGGGAGGAACACCAGUGGCGAAGGCGGUGGCCUGGACCUGUGCUGACGCUGAGGCGCGAAAGCUAGGGGAGCAAACGGG